CAAGCAUAUAACCAGUAUUAUUACCGGUUCUAUUACUUCCAUCGAUCAAAGUAUUUUAAUCUGUUGAUUUCAAGUCUUGUACUUCAAUUUUUCUAACAUUCAUGAAAAACCCUAUUACCCAGAGAUUGUCAUUAUUUUUGUCGUCGUUAUCGAUAACAGAUGAACAGCCGCAUGUGACAGGUUGAUCUUCAAAUAAUUAAAU